GGGAGGCUUCAUGUAAACAUCUAGAUUUCUGGCUUCUCUGGAACAACUGGGAAAUCUCCUGAGAGUUCCUCUGUGUACUCCUUCCACAAGUACUGACCGAGCAUCUACCCAUGCCAAGGAUGACACUGGGCCCUGAAGAUGGGACCAGGAGGAAGUCCCAGACAUAAUGGGGCACACGUUGCCACAGGAGGGAAGCCCAGGGCCUAGCCUGGACGGAGCCUUCGGCAGGGCUUGUGCCCAGUGAUUCUCCACCAGCCGGGCAGCGCAGACAGGUCCUGCGGGAAGAACUCUCCCUCGGUGGGCCGGGGGCUGAGCCAGGCAGGCCCUAGUUGGGCCGUUUCAUCAGAGGACACUGGUUUCAUGGCUGGUGUGGAGGCAAACCGCACAGGGCCUGAGCUCCCCAGCAAAGCCCUGUGCUGUGGCAGAAGUACCUGGAGGAGCGGGACAUUGCACUUGGCCUC
rnacentral:lncRNA from 1 species